rnacentral:rRNA from 1 species
AUUGAACGCUGGCGGCAGGCCUAACACAUGCAAGUCGAGCGGAUGAAGGGAGCUUGCUCCUGGAUUCAGCGGCGGACGGGUGAGUAAUGCCUAGGAAUCUGCCUGGUAGUGGGGGAUAACGUCCGGAAACGGGCGCUAAUACCGCAUACGUCCUGAGGGAGAAAGUGGGGGAUCUUCGGACCUCACGCUAUCAGAUGAGCCUAGGUCGGAUUAGCUAGUUGGUGGGGUAAAGGCCUACCAAGCCGACGAUCCGUAACUGGUCUGAGAGGAUGAUCAGUCACACUGGAACUGAGACACGGCCCAGACUCCUACGGGAGGCAGCAGUGGGGAAUAUUGGACAAUGGGCGAAAGCCUGAUCCAGCCAUGCCGCGUGUGUGAAGAAGGUCUUCGGAUUGUAAAGCACUUUAAGUUGGGAGGAAGGGCAGUAAGUUAAUACCUUGCUGUUUUGACGUUACCAACAGAAUAAGCACCGGCUAACUUCGUG